GGCGUUGUGGUGAAAUUGGUAGACACGCUACUUUGAGGGGGUAGUGCCGGUUCUGGCAUGGGAGUUCGAGUCUCCCCAACGUCA
rnacentral:tRNA from 1 species